ensembl:ncRNA W01A11.17 ncRNA
UACAAGAUAAUAUGCGCGGAAGGAAUUAGAAUAACUGCUGAAGGUAAUGGAAAUCUGAUAUGCACGUAAGAACCGGACAACAGGUAAGAAGGCGAAACGACAGGGCGCGUGAGGUUUUGUUGAGGAACAGGAA